rnacentral:tRNA from 1 species
UCUAAAAUGGCAGAUAAGUGCAAUGGAUUUAAGCUCCAUAAAUAAGAAUGAAAUUUUCUUUUUUAGAAC